GACGAACGCUGGCGGCGUGCCUAAUACAUGCAAGUAGAACGCACAGUUUAUACCGUAGCUUGCUACACCAUAAACUGUGAGUUGCGAACGGGUGAGUAACGCGUAGGUAACCUGCCUGGUAGCGGGGGAUAACUAUUGGAAACGAUAGCUAAUACCGCAUAAUAUUGAUUAUUGCAUGAUAAUUGAUUGAAAGAUGCUAUUGCAUCACUACCAGAUGGACCUGCGUUGUAUUAGCUAGUAGGUGAGGUAAAGGCUCACCUAGGCGACGCUACAUAGCCCACCUGAGAGGGUGAUCGGCCACCCUGGGACUGAGACACGGCCCAGACGCCUACGGGAGGCAGCAGUAGGGAAUCUUCGGCAAUGGACGAAAGUCUGACCGAGCAACGCCGCGUGAGUGAAGAAGGUUUUCGGAUCGUAAAGCUCUGUUGUAAGAGAAGAACGGGUGUGAGAGUGGAAAGUUCACACUGUGACGGUAUCUUACCAGAAAGGGACGGCUAACUACGUG
rnacentral:rRNA from 1 species